ensembl:lncRNA
AGGGCAGUGCCUCAGAUAUCAGGCGGGACGCGGGCCAGCUGGAGCCAGAGCUGGGAACUUCGCUGGACAGAUUGCACCAGCCCUAGGCUGAGGAGAAAGUGAACGUAACUGUCCCUUGGAUACUGUAAGUGACAUUGGGGAGCACCCAGGGAGAGACAGUGGGAUUUCACACGACUGUAAUUUGCCUGUUUUCUAAUGUUACACAAUUUGGGUUUGGUAACAAAUCCCUUUUGAUACAGUCAGGCCAUUAAGGCUUCCACGUAAGGGAUUUGGGGUCGCUUUAACUCGACUGGUCACUGACUUUCAGGCGUCGGGGUGCAUGCUAGAAUCAGAAAAGGAGUGACAUUCCUAAAAUAUAACCUAGGCUUCUGACCCUGGGGCUCUGUGGAUCGGACACAAAGUUUACAAAUAGAAAGUUAGCAGAGGGUAAGAUAUGUAAAAAGUAACAAUUUUAUCUAAAAAUAGAAACUUAGUGGUUAGCACUAAGUCCUCUGCUUUUGAAUUUCAAAGACUUAAAACAAACUUUAACUUGGAAGAGCCAGCCAUGCAAAUUGCUGUGCCUGCAGAUAAUGAAAAGAUUCAAAGAAGUUAGCGUGCAGGCCUAAACAGUUUCCAAUCAACUCUUCCCCGCUGCGAAGCCUGGGGACUCCAAAAGGGACAAAGCUGAGUUAGAGUCCCAUAAAGGCUACUCCUAAUCCCUUUGGUUUUCGAGCCUGGCGAUAAGAAAGAAAGGAGUGGCUUCGGCAUUUGCUGGUGGAGUCAAGGCAGAUUUACCGGAUGAUAAAAGUACCGAGUGUGUGUGCGUUAACUGUCAGGCACAGCUAAAUAAAACACACCACAUAUGAAAUCCGAGCUAUUCGUGAAGUCGAAGGCUAAUGUGCACGCGUUUCUUAGAAAAAUAGCAAGUGCAUGAAAAUACCAGCAAAGAGCAUCAACUUUCUCGGCCGUUUUAUUUUCCCUGCGACUUCUGGUCCAGGGAUGAUAGGCGUUGUGCGGAUCUUUAGCUCCGCCAACCAGCGGAUCAAGUCCUCAGGCCGGGCCGGGGGCUGCUGAGACUCCUAGGGGCUUCCGCGGGCUCGGGGGUGGGACUGUCCGCAGCAGCAGCGGCAGCAGCAGCAGCAGCAGCAGCAGCAGGAACAGCAGUUGCGGGCAGGCAGAGAAAGGAAGGGCGCCGGAGGUUCUCGGACAGGCCCUUUGCCAAGGCCGUAGCCCCGACCCGAAACCGUCCUGGGCCGACUCGCUCAGCAGGGCGCGGCCCCAGCGCCACCCGGCUCGCCCCGGGAGAGGUGGGACUUUCCCCACCGGAAGUGAUCCCGUCCCGUCUCAGGGAACUGGGGCACCUCCACCAGUGUGUCAGGGAAACCCUUCCGGGUGUGUGCUGGGGGUGGGGGGGUGGGGGGAGGGUGAGAAAAAAAAAAAAAAAAAAAAGAGGUGGGUUCGCCUGGAGUCCCAGCGGCCGCCGCCGCUGCCGCCGCCGCCGCCGGACGGCCCCCGCCCCUUUCCCCUCCGCGAGCCGCAGCGCAGGGGCGGCGGUGAGACCGAGGAGCCGGCCAGUGGCCAUGGCCUUGGCGUGACACAGCCUCCCGGGCGGCCGGGCGGGUGCGGACGGCAGGGCCGGACGACGCCCGCGGGAGCCGCGGCCCAGAGACCCGCCCGGGCGGCAGCGACUGGAGCGGAGCCCACAGGCCUGGGCUGGCUCGGCGGCGCGAGCAGGAAGCGGGGUCCCUGGGCCCCUUUGUGUGAAGGGCGGGGGAGGGGCGCGGGGCAGCCCCGGGCCGCGGGCUCCUCGGACGCCCGCCUUCCGCGGGGGGCCCCCCGUCUGUCCUGCGGCGCCCACCCCUUCCCUCCCGGGGCGGGGGGCGCGUGUCGCCUCCCCAGCCUCCCAGCUUUUCGGGGCUCGCCUUCUCCCCACGCCCCCUGCCUGGGCUCCGGUUCCUAUAGGAAGGGCAUUACCAUCCCAUCCCCACCCACCCCGACACUUCGCUCUUUCCCCUCCCCCUCCUUUAACUUCCUCUUCUUCCCCCGUCGGGCCCUCGGCUGCUCUGCGCUCUCCUCCCGGGUUCGCAGAUUUCCGCCCACCUUCCGCCUCCCCGAGCCGCGCCGCCGCGAGCGGGGUGUUAUUUUUCCCUCCCUCUGGUAGGAGUUGGUGAAGGAGAGACUCAUGCGGGAGUACAAGGUAGUGGUGUUAGGGAGCGGAGGGGUUGGCAAAUCUGCCCUUACUGUGCAGUUUGUCACCGGGACUUUCAUUGAGAAAUAUGACCCCACCAUUGAAGAUUUCUACCGCAAAGAGAUCGAAGUGGACUCUUCCCCCUCCGUGCUGGAAAUUCUGGACACCGCAGGAACUGAGCAGUUUGCCUCCAUGAGAGAUCUCUACAUCAAAAACGGCCAAGGUUUCAUCCUGGUUUAUAGUCUGGUUAAUCAACAGUCUUUUCAGGAUAUCAAGCCAAUGAGAGAUCAGAUUGUCAGAGUGAAGAGAUAUGAAAAAGUCCCACUGAUCCUAGUAGGAAAUAAAGUGGAUCUGGAACCAGAAAGAGAGGUUAUGUCUUCAGAAGGCAGAGCUCUGGCUCAAGAAUGGGGCUGUCCUUUCAUGGAGACAUCGGCAAAAAGUAAAUCAAUGGUGGAUGAACUUUUUGCUGAGAUCGUCAGGCAAAUGAACUAUUCAUCCCUGCCCGAGAAGCAAGAUCAGUGUUGUACAACUUGCAUUGUCCAGUAAAAAAGAUAACCUCAAUCAUGGCCAUACCGAGCAGAUAAAACUCAGAGGAAAUUUGCACAGAUGCUGCUUUGGAGAACUUUACAACCUGGGUUGCAGAACUGAGCCUUGGUAAACCUGUCUCUAUUACAGCAUGUUGCCAUACAUCUAAUUAAGUGCAUAAGGUCUUUGGCCUUCAAGAACCAUUGACCUUAAACAGGAAUGCUUAGCACAUUUACCAUAUGUUUAAAACCUGUUCUUUAUCAAUCAGUCCUUUUGUAGCUUUUUAAGUUCCUAUUGAUGGCUAAUAUGCAAGAAUUAAUUUUUAAUAUUUUAAUUGAUUUCUUUAAUCAGUUUCUCAACUUGUAUUUAUUAAAUACUCAAACUCAGUAUUACCUACUCAAUGCCUUUUAAAAGAAAGUUAUAAUGGAGAAAAAAAUUGAGCCUUAAACAAAUGGUUACUUCUGUAUAUUACCUCGCACCACUGCUUCAUUCUAUUUGUAAACUCUUUCUCCUUUAAAUGGUUGGUUAAUACUUUUGAGACUUUGUUUACGUGUGGCAGUGUUGUAAAAAGAAACUAAAGAUCGCAUUUUACCUGUAUGGAUGGGAUAUCCCUUUUCUUAAAGUGCAGUUUGUGAUGUGUUUUUGUAAUUAACAUGUUAUGAAAGUGACAAUGGCUAUUCGAAAUUGACUGUAGAGCAUUUAGCUGAAUAGUUAAGCAUUUGAUUCCAUUAGGUUUUCACAUGUGUUAAUCUCAUUUACAGCAUCAAAUUGCAGCAGUAACAUUUUCCUUUCUGUGAAGUUCUAAAUUUAGUUAUGACCUACUAAGCAAUGCUUUUGAAAAGGGAUAUUGUAUCCAUGGUAAAUUAAUUGUAUACCUAAACAGAGAUAGCUCAGCUUUUGCCUGUCAGGCUUGUAAUUGACAUCUAGUAGACUUCUGCACAUGUAAAAUUAAAUUCAAAUAAAAUCAUAUACACUUUCUAAUUCUUAAUAUUUGUCUUUCUGAAUAAUAGUUUAAAGCAAUAUUUGUUAAAGUUUUCUUGCACUAUCACAAUUGCUUUUUAGUUAUUUCUCAAGAGGCAUGUUCGUAGUAGAGACAAAAAUCUGUGUAACAGGAGGGAGGAGAGCGCCGAGUCUCUGGGCGUUUUGGGGGUUUUUUGGUUUUCGUUUUUUUGUUUUCGUUUUUUGAAAAUGUACUUCUAAUAGCCAUGGCCUUCCAUGUUUACCUAAUCAGCACAUUUUGUCUGAAUACUUGAACAUUUUAACAGUAACAUAGGUGUAGAAACAGAAAACUUGUCAAGAGUAGUCUUUUGGUUCAGUUUUAACAUCAUGACAACAAGCGCUUUUUCUAGUAAUGAUUUUAAAACUUUGUAAGUUUGCCAGUAUUUUGUUGUUGGGUUUUUAUUUGGUUUUAGUUGUGUGCUUUUAAUUUGCAGAAGUUAGUAACUACAGCUCACCUACUGCACCAAAGUUCUCGAUUUUAGGAGCCCAGCUUUAGUCAUUUGAACAUGCUUCUAAAUAAAACAAAACAAAAAAACCAAAACUAUACUUUUGAUCUAUAAUAAUAGCUCAAUAACUUUGUCAAGGAAAGCUCUAAUAUAUGCAGUGAUGGUUUUUGGAAGGGUGUGGCAAUUUUAAAUUUAUAUUGUGUGUGAUGUUCAAAUAAAGUGAUACCUACAUUCAUGUGAUUUAUUGGUCAGCAUGACCAUUAAUUAUUGUGUAGAGAUUAAUUAAACUUUGAUUUCCUUUUUUUAAAUCGUGUUGCAUUUGAUUCCUGAUCAAAUUCCCGCGAAAUGAAAUCUUAAUCUUAGAUUUUGAAUUUUAUGAAAGUGAGAUUGUAAGGGUGGAGGCAAUUGAAACCUUGUUUCUUCUUUGUCCACUGCUUGAAAUGAAUACCUGUUUAAGUUUGCACUUUAAUACCAAACUUAAAACCGAACACUCAGUUCAAAGCAGGUUAAGUGAUUGUGGUUCAUCUUUAUUAGCUGUGUGAAAUUCUAAAGGAAUCAAAUAAUUCAUGAUGAUUUAAAUUUUCUGCAAAUGGAGGCUUUAUACAGUGUUUCUUUCCUAUGGAUAGUUCUCCUCCUUUUACUCUUGCUCCCUCUCACCUUCGCUUUCUCUCUCUCUCUCUUGCUUUCUCUCUCUCACUGACCUCAGCAGCCAAUUUAACUUGAAUUCACGUAGGAUGACAGGAAUCAGGGGAAAGUGAUUUAAAGGUGGUUUCUCCAGCACAUUUUAAGAAAAGGGACCAAAAGUUAUUUUAGCUUCCUCAAUAGAUUGCAUGUCCAGUUGCUUAUUAGGGUAAUAAAUUAAUAUUAAAUGCAAUAUAUGUCUUGUCUUUGCUAUGGCAUCUGUUUAGGAGUUGUUCAAAUCACUGCAGUAGGGCUCUGCAAAUAAAAUCAUGUAACCUAUUAUCAUGGAUCUAAUGUACUGUAACUUUAUCAAUGAAAGGUAAAAAUCUCGAAUAACAAGUACAAACGUUGAACAAUGACCUAUAAAGAUUUGUAAAAGUAAAAUUUUUCCAAUAGAUUUCAUUCUUGUCAUUUUGUAAGACGACCCUGCAGUCCACCUGUUUGUAACUUUUUUAAUAAAAUAGACAUCUGUAUUACUGA